GAGAAAAUAAAAGCAUCAUUAGAGCUGGUAUAACUUUAAUUUUCCCAAAUGGUCCUGAGGCAGGGGACGAAGAAUGGAAACAAUGAAAAAAAUGCCACUGGCCCAGCUGCAAGAUCGGCCCCCAGAAAAAUGCCACAAAUCUAUCAUAUUUAUACCAUCUGCAGACUGAGAAUGCACCAACCCCCUUACAUUGCAUGCUAUGGAAAUAUCAAUCUUGAGUAUGUAAGACUUUCAUGAUUGCAUUGUGUGACUGCAUCAUAAAAUGUCACUGUUAUGUUUCCAGAAAUUCUGAAGAAGACACUCUCAUGAUUUCCUGACCUUCAGGUUCUCUUUGGGCUCUACCUUUCAACUUAAUCUAAUAUGUCAUCUGUUUUUCUCUGCACAUUUCUUCCUGAGCUAUUCUCAGCAGGGACUUUAUCCAUUUUGUCCUCGGCAGUAUUGCCAGGGCCUAAAAGAAGAUCUGGCACACAGUCCUGACUGAAUAAACACAAGAUGCCAAUCCCUUCUUCUAAGACACCAAGAGAAAAUAUAGUCACCGAGAACAAAGCAGGGAGAAACAAAAUCUUGCAGUUAGCUUGGACUUCAACUCUAGACCACCGGUGUUUUCUCUCAAAAGAGAAGAGCUCUUACCUAAAGUAGCCUGGCCUGGAGAGGCUAAGAUCAAGACAGGACAGAAGGCCUCCUCUGGUUCCUUUCACUCUAAAGCCCAAACCCUUGUUGUAAGUCUUAUUACUCCAACAGGAAGAGAGGAUACGCAUGCCCGUCCAAGCCAGAUGGGGAACCCAAUGCAGGAGUAAAAAAGGCUUAUCUUGAUCUAUGUCUUAUCCUCCCCCUUUCCCUUUUUGAGCCUUCAGAUGGAUCACAGCCUUGAUCAAUAGUACAACUGCAACCUCAUGAGGGGCCUUGAGCCAGGGGUACCCAGCUAAGCCAUGCAGGGAUUCCUGCCCCACACAAACUGUGAGAAGAUAAAUUUUUGCUGCUUUUAAGCUGCUAAGUUUCUGAUGUUUCAGAAGAUAAUUUGUUACACAGCAAUAGAUAACCAGCACAAAUGUGUACAUAAAAUUCCCUUAUAUAAAUUCAGGUUAUUUCCAACUUUUCCCACUUGCAAUAUGG